CGGAUUUCAACAUCUGAAACGUCUUCACAAAAAACAAGUUUACAAAUCUGACGCUGCUGUUGACUCAUCAAAUAAAGACAAGGAGGGAAAGGAAAAUCCCUGUGGAUCAGAAAUUUGCGAUGAACCAGACUCAAUUCUGGAAACCAUACCAGAAAAGACAACAAAGUGUGAGUGUCAAGAGUCAUCAAAGGACGAAAUUAAAAUAGAACGUGGAUCAGAAAUUUGCGAUGAACCAGACUCAAUUCUGGAAACCAUACCAGAAAAGACAACAAAGUGUGAGUGUCAAGAGUCAUCAAAGGACGAAAUUAAAA